AUACGUAGGGGGCGAGCGUUGUCCGGAAUGAUUGGGCGUAAAGGGCGCGUAGGCGGCCCGGUAAGUCUGGAGUGAAAGUCCUGUUUUUAAGAUGGGAAUUGCUUUGGAUACUGUCGGGCUUGAGUGCAGGAGAGGUAAGUGGAAUUCCCAGUGUAGCGGUGAAAUGCGUAGAGAUUGGGAGGAACACCAGUGGCGAAGGCGACUUACUGGACUGUAACUGACGCUGAGGCGCGAAAGUGUGGGGAGCAAACAGGAUUAGAUACCCUGGUAGUCCACACUGUAAACGAUGAAUGCUAGGUGUAGGGGGUAUCGACCCCUUCUGUGCCGCAGUUAACACAAUAAGUAUUCCACCUGGGGAGUACGGCCGCAAGGUUGAAACUCAAAUGAAUUGACGGGG
rnacentral:rRNA from 1 species